UACGGGGGGUGCGAGCGUUGUCCGGAAUCACUGGGCGUAAAGGGCGCGUAGGUGGCCUGAUAAGGGUGUGGUGAAAGUCCCGGGCUCAACCCCGGAUCUGCCGUGCCGACUGUUGGGCUGGAGUACUGUAGGGGCAGGCGGAAUUCCGGGUGUAGCGGUGGAAUGCGUAGAGAUCCGGAGGAAGACCGGUGGCGAAGGCGACUUACUGGACACAUAUUGACGCUGAGGUGCGAAAGCGUGGGGAGCAAACAGG
rnacentral:rRNA from 1 species